rnacentral:rRNA from 1 species
UGGGGAAUAUUGCACAAUGGGCGCAAGCCUGAUGCAGCGACGCCGCGUGUGGGAUGACGGCUUUUGGGUUGUAAAUCUCUUUCAGCAGGGAAGAAGCGAAAGUGACGGUACCUGCAGAAGAAGCGCCGGCUAACCACGUGCCAGCAGCCGCGGUAAUACGUAGGGCGCGAGCGUUGUCCGGAAUCAUUGGGCGUAAAGAGUUUGUUGGCGGUUUGUUGCGUCUGCUGUGAAAGACCGGGGCUUAAACCCGGUAUUGCAGUGGGUACGGGCAGACUAGAGUGCGGUAGGGGGGGCUGGAAUUCCUGGUGUAGCGGUGAAAUGCGCAGAUAUCAGGAGGAACACCGAUGGCGAAGGCAGGUCACUGGGCUGUAACUGACGCUGAGAAGCGAAAGCAUGGGGAGCGAACAGG